UAUUAAAAAUUUCAUCUAUUUCUAUUGUUAAAAACUUGUGUGACUAACAGAAUAAUCAAACAAUGAGACGUACGCCUCAUGUUGAUGUACAAAGACUAAUUUUUAACAUCAAAAGUGGAUGAAUUUUUUAAUA
rfam:Gossypium raimondii Chr04_contig_1055, whole genome shotgun sequence.